AUUUUGGGACAACACAAACAAAGCUAAGGCAGGGCGACAGCACCAAGAGGACCGUCACUAUACAGACAACAAGCAACAUCCUCUUAGAUGUUGUGCUUUGGUCAGAGCGUGCCACAGCUUUCCCAGCAGAUGAAAUACUCAAAGAUGGCCAGACUUCUCCACAUGUUGUGUUGUUUGUUGGUACUCUUGUCAAAAGCUUUGGAGGUAUGUCCUUGUCCGGGAGUUCGUCUUGCAAGUGGUACAUCAAUCCUGACAUUCCUGACACAAAGAAACUUCUAGCUAGCGCCACAGCAGGGUAUAAGCCAAUUGCUUGGUCUGAGAGCUCAAGUGCUGCUAUCCAAAAAGAACCUGCUCAGAAAAAAAGCUCUCUGAGAUUUUACAUCUCAAUCCAUUUGAGUUCCAGAAAACUGAGUUUAUAGUCACUGUCGCUGUAAAGAAGAUCGGCAGCAACUGGUGGUACAAUGCGUGCAAGAAAUGCAUGAAGACAGCAAAACACCAUGGUGAUUCCUACAAGUGCACAAAUGCUAAGUGCAACAACAUUGGGAUACCCAAUCCAAGGUUCAAGUUAUCCAUACUAGCUGGUGACGACACAAAUGCUGCUGAGUUCAUUCUGUUUGAGAGGCAAGCUCAGCGAUUGACAAGGAAAUCGGCUGACACCCUUGUGGCUGAAAACCCAACUGACUUCAUUCCA